rnacentral:rRNA from 1 species
UACGUAGGGAGCAAGCGUUGUCCGGAUUUAUUGGGCGUAAAGAGCUCGUAGGCGGCUUAGCAAGUCAGGUGUGAAACCUCCAGGCUUAACCUGGAGACGCCACUUGAUACUGCUAUGGCUUGAGUUUGGUAGGGGAAGACGGAAUUCCUGGUGUAGCGGUGAAAUGCGCAGGAUAAUCAGAGAGGAACACCGAUGGCGAAGGCCAGUCUUCUGGGCCAAAACUGACGCUGAGGAGCGAAAGCGUGGGGAGCAAACAGG